rnacentral:rRNA from 1 species
UGGAGAAUAUUGGACAAUGGGCGAAAGCCUGAUCCAGCCAUGCCGCGUGUGUGAAGAAGGCCUUAUGGUUGUAAAGCACUUUAAGCGAGGAGGAGGGUACUGGUAUUAAUACUACCAGGUACUGGACGUUACUCGCAGAAUAAGCACCGGCUAACUCUGUGCCAGCAGCCGCGGUAAUACAGAGGGUGCGAGCGUUAAUCGGAUUUACUGGGCGUAAAGCGUGCGUAGGCGGCUAAUUGAGUCGGAUGUGAAAUCCCCGAGCUUAACUUGGGAAUUGCAUUCGAUACUGGUUAGCUAGAGUGUGGGAGAGGAUGGUAGAAUUCCAGGUGUAGCGGUGAAAUGCGUAGAGAUCUGGAGGAAUACCGAUGGCGAAGGCAGACAUCUGGCCUAACACUGACGCUGAGGUACGAAAGCAUGGGGAGCAAACAGG